GCCCUGAUGGUCUAAUGGUUAAGAUUUGAUGCUCUCACUGCCAUGGCCUGGGUUCAUUUCCUGGUCAGGGAA
rnacentral:tRNA from 1 species